AGAAUCCUUUCGAUACGAGAAAUCGUCGGGAUUUGAGAAGAUCGCAUGUUGAUGUUGUGGGGCGACAUUUACAAUUUUCUUUGCAAUCAUGUACAAACGUUACGGAAAUUUUUUGGAAAACCCAGAACUGGAAUAGUCUUACAUCCCGAUAACCACUUCAGAAACGCUGAUAUGGAUACGUCUCCUGUUAAAAACAUUUUAAACAUUUAAGACUGAAAAAUGAAUAAACAAACUAAUCAAGGUA